UCGUGACCGGCUGACACGAUCGUGAGCUCAUGUUUAUGUGGGUAUCAAUAUCAAAAUAAACAUAUUUUUACUGGGAAAGAUGAUAUCAAUAUGUUGUGUCUAUCGUGUAUUAUCAGAGUAACUGAAAUUAUUUAACUAAUUCGCGCUUAUUUUGCAAUAGAAUACCCUAUAAAAUGGCUGUGUAUUUUGAGGACACAACCGGUAAAGGUGUGCCUCUCACCCACGCUUUGGCUCUAGAGUUGUUAAAUGAUGGUAACUAGUCCGAAAUAGAAGAUUUAGAUGGCGAAAAUGAUGGUCCUUUUGAGGUUUAAAUGUUUAAAAAUAACACCGAUGACAAGGAUAUUGAAGAUACUGUAUUGGAUGAAGAACCUGUUCCUUCAACGAGCUCUUCUUCAGCAAGGAGGCAAUGAAAAGACAUGACAUUUCAGCAAAAAAUGUUUGUUUUAUUUUAGUUAGUAUGUAAUAUCAUAUUAAAAAAUUAUAGAAAUAAUUGUUAUUUGGACCUAUUAGUGUUUUACGUUUAAUAAAAGUGAAUUUUUUCAUACA
rnacentral:lncRNA from 1 species